rnacentral:tRNA from 1 species
GGGAAGGUGGCUCAGUGGUAGAGCACUUGCCUUGCAUGCAUGAGGCCCUGGGUUCA